UGUGUGUUGCUCUGAAAGGAAUGACGGAAGUGACCUGCAGUGUGUUGUUUUGUUUUUCUCUCACUCAUAUUGAAUCCAGGUGCUGUGUGUGAGGGUUUAUGUGCACUGCCUUUAUACAUUCCACACAGCAGUGCACUCAGCAUGUAUUAUCAAGCUCAGCGAUGUAGGAUAUGGAUAUGCCAUAUUCCCAGACAACAGAGAACGCAAGACAUCUGAGGAAAACAAGAUGGGAAUCUGAAGAAGUUCAUUCUCAUUAAGAUUCAGUGAGGAUUUCUUGCUGCCAGUCUCUUCACUGUCUAGAACCCUAAGAGAAUGUGGUCCCUGGGGGGUGUAGACCACUGUGGGUAUGGGAACUGGCUCCAAGCGGUGACAUGGUGACGGGGCUUGCCUCCGGCUGCCAGACAGUGAGCAGAACCCUGGGGAGCAAUGACAAGAAUUCUUGUUCCUCUGGUAACCUUGUCACAUGGAAUGCUGUGUGGCCUCAAUCUGGUGCAGGAUCUUUGAACUUCUCAUUGGCUUUGCUUCAGAAAGACCUGGGUCUGCUUCCAUUCUAAUGCAACUACUCAUCUGCUCCUUCUCCUCCUCCUCCUCCUUCUCCUCUUACGCUCUCUCCAUCUUUUCCUCCGCUCGUCCCUGCCUUCUGAUCCUCCUGCCACGGUGUGUGCCACCUCCAUUUCCAGAAGAAAUACCACAUGCUGGACAGCAAAUGGAGUGACAUCGAGCAGUGGAUGGAGGAAAGUGAGAGAUACUCCUACCACAGAAGGAGAGGCACUUCGAUCUCCGACGAUGAGGAGAGAAUGUCAGUUGGGAGCCGUGGAUGUCUGAGGGUGGAGGACCGGUCAGACAGAGACCUCCUUGAGAAGGGUUCUAGGGCCUCCACUCUCGCUUCCCUAAGCAGAGCUUCAUCACGGAGGGGGAGUGGUGACGCCUCCACCUGGGCAGAUUCAGAGGCUUCUGUGCGGGAGAUGAAGGAAAUUCAUCAACUCCAGGUUCAAAUUCAUGAUGUAGAAGCUGAGUACCAGCAGAGCCUCAAAGAUGCCAAGGAUGCUCUUGCUGAAGCAGAGGAGAAGUACCGUAAGGCCAUGGUGUCCAAUGCACAGCUGGACAACGAGAAAUCAAAGCUGAUGUACCAGGUGGAUGUGCUGAAAGACUCUCUGAUGGAGCUGGAGGAGCAGCUGUCUGAAUCUCGGAGGGAAUACGAAGAAAAGGUCAAGGAGUUUGAGCGCGAGAAGCAUGCCCAUGGCAUCCUGAAGUUCCAGUUUAGUGAGAUGAAGGAAAUGCUGCAGCAAAGUGAGGAGCUGCUGACCGAGAUCCGUCAGUUGCGUCUCAAGCAGGAUGGCUAUGUUAGGGAGAUCCAAGACCUGCACGAGACCCUGGAAUGGAAGGAUAAAAAGAUUGGGGCUUUAGAGAGGCAGAAGGAGUAUUCUGAUGCGGUCCAGAAUGAGCGAGAUGACCUCAGAGAUGAGGUGCUGCAGCUGAGAGAUAUUUUGAAGAAGCAUGGCAUAGUCCUUGGACCUGACCUGAAUGCCAAUGGAGAAACUGGAGCGGUAAUUGACAGGCUGACCGAUGCAGACUCUGCCCAGGAUUCCCAAACAGCUCAUACUGGGGGUGACAGUGUCCUCGGAAAAGCCAAGGAGGUGAAGCUGAAAGGUAAAGAGUGUGAUGAAGGGGGCGAUAGAGUGCUGUCAGAGAAGACUAAGAAUCACACUGCCAUGCCGGAGAGCUCAAAGACAGAGGUGGAAUUACUGGAUGGCAGCAUUGGUGUAAAUGUGCUGCCCAGGGAGAUUGCAACGGAUCUCUAUUUACCUUCACGGGAUGCACAUUCUGGUAUACCUGAGAAACAAAGGCUUGAGGAAAUCCACAAUGAUUCUGCUGUGGUGGCUGAAGAGGCUGAGCAAGAAGACGAUGAUUAUAAACCUCAUAACAGUCAGUUCAAUUCCGAGUCUAAUUUGAAACUCUCUGAAACAGAAGAAGAGGUGGUGAGAAAUGGCACAGAGAGACCGAUCACAGAAAAAAUGGAAACUGGAGAAAAUGAUACAGAUAAUGAAGAACACAAAAUAGCCAGCUGUGAAGGAGAAGUGGACCUGGAAAAUGAAUCAGAGGCUGAACCUGUCUGCAACAAGUCCUCUCAAGAAGCGGUGGAAAAAUUAGAUUCAACUGAACAUGAAUUCAUGCACAAGAUUGAGGAUGUGGAACCUGGCAGGGAGAGCACCCACAAUGUAGAAUUCUGUGCUUGUCAGUCAGCCCAAACAGAAGACAUUCCUCUUCAAGAUGAUCAAAACUUAGAAGACACGAUCAAGCAUGAACAUUUAGAAGAAGAUGUUGUGACUGAUUCUUCUUUAUAUGCUAAACCACUGCUCAGUCCUACAGAUAGUAUUGGUAUGGACAACGAAGAAUGUGCUGAGAUGUCCAGUAUGAUAAGGCAGGAUCAGUUAACGACAGAAACUAUAGCCAUUUGUUUUAACCAAGAUUUGGAAAGUGUUGACAUGAUUUCUGAAUUAGAAGGGCAAGGUACAGCUCAGAAGGACAGAAUCUUUGUGGAUGACAUUGGGACCACAAUCAUUCUUGAACCAGACAGUGACACUCAAAGUAAGGAAUGGAUUAACAGACCUUCUGCUCCCUCUUCUAAUGCAUCUUCAAAGCCUGAGAGUGGUGGAGGCUGUGGGAAGAAGAAGAAAAAGAAGAAGAAGGGCAAGCAGAAGCACAAAGGUGAGGCACAAGCUACUCCUACUAAAACCAAUGAAGAACUAGGGGUGGCUAAACAAGAAAUGAAGGAAAUACAAGAGGCUAGCACAAAUGAUCAUGAAGAGACUCAUGUCAUCCCAGAAAUGAAAGCAAGAGAUAAUCCUACAGCUGAAGAAUGUUCUACAGAACAAAUAAAGAAAUCUGAGACCAAAACCUCAUUCCAAACAGUGCAGGAAGAAAUUGUGGCAGAAGGGGAGAAAGAAAUUGAGCAUGAUGGCAUAAACCAAAGUAGAACAGAUGAAGGCAAGAUCUUAGAGACUGUCCAUGAAUUUGUAACUAGCAGUGAUAAUCCUGAAAUACAGGACCAAUUUGACCCAAAGCUGAAAAUUUGUGCAGAGGAUUCUUUGACUUCUGAACCUGCAGUUCCUGUAGAGGCAAGUGCCUUUAAAGAAGACAUCCUGACAGAAGCAGACUAUAAUUUGAAGAAGGAUGAGGAAAGUGCUCAAGUAUUUCCAGCUGAUCGGGAUGAUUUCUCAACAAAAUGUUUUAAUGAUAGCAAAGUUACACUUCCUGAGGGACCAGAGAUUGAGGACAUGGACAGUUGUGAAGAAGCAGAUACCCUGAUGAAAGAAGAGUUCUCAGAAAAUUCCACAGGUAAUGAGGUGCAUGCCAAAAAUGCUGAAGUAAAAGAAAGCUCAAGUGCACAAAUAAAUGUCCCAUCACCCUUCGUAGAUGAUGAGAGUGAUUCCUGUGAAGCACCUGAGGGCUUGAAAGAACCAGGUUUUGAAGAACAAAUACCCAGUAAUGUAGAAACUCAAAAUGGCUCAGACCAGCUAGAAAAAGGUACACCUGAAAAAGAGGAAGAGUAUGGAAAACAAAUUCAAUGCACAGAGAAAAAGGACAAUGAAGAAGGGGAAGGGUUUCAGUUUGAAGGUGAUUUGGAAGCAGCUACAGAAGCAUUGCCUGUUAGUCUUCAUGAAGACAAUGAAAUGGAAACAACAUCCACAGCUGAGAGACAGUCUGAAGGAGAAAAAGAAACACAGUUGAACCAACAACUGGAGACCAAGGUGGAAAGGCCAGGUGUACAUGAUCAGUCCCAGGCUCCCAGUGCAGAACUCCCUUGUCAGCAAGUUUGUGACGAAUCACAGUCAGCGGUAGAAAGUACUGUAGAACAAGGGGAGGAGGCCAUUGCUUUAGUAAUGCAAACAGAAAGUCAAGAGAAUCAGUCAGAAGAACAAAGUCAACCAGCUGAAGUCCCACCAGAGAGCACUGAAGACCAAGCCAGCAAAGGCUCGGCAAAGGGCAGUAAAAAGGGCAAGGGCAAAGACGACUGCCGCAUGGCCUAAUCCCCCACUAGAAAGUUCAUCCUACAGUGAGAGAAUGCAGCACACAUGUCAUAGAACUCUUGGCACAAGAAAAAGCAAUACCUUAAAAGGUUUGAUGCAUCAUUCUGGUUAAGAAUCUGAAUCAAAAAAACUAAUGUAUGGAAUCCACAUGUUAUAUCCUGCUUGCAUUAUGUUCAAGGUUUCUUACCUGAGCUAAAAAAAACUAUUUAUUGUGCAAGAAACAGUAAGGAUAGCUCAGAGUAGUGAUUAGUCAGACUGAGUGCCUAUCUCUGUAUGAAUGAAUCAAAAAAGAAUGUAUCAUACAUUACUGAUAAUGGUUGUUUAUUGUGCAGGUUUAGAUAUCCUGUUGGAUAACACUUCUGCUCUUGGCCAGAAGUCAAGUGUGUGUGUUUGUGCGUGUGUUAAUUCUGAUAGUGACCCAGACAGGAAAAGCUAUCUUAAAGUGCCAUAUGGUUUAUUUCAGUACUGGCUGAGAUAGAUGUCAUAUGGUGAAGUCAUCCUAAAAUAAUCAUAAAUAGAAAGCCUAUUUAUUUUUGUAGUAUAAAUUACAUUUGAGGCCUAAGAAAGACAUGACUGGUACUUCCAAAAAAAAAAGCACAAUUAGUAAUGUAUUUUAGAAAUAUUUCAAUGGCUGUUAAAACCGUCCUUGGAUUUUUUUUUUUUUUUUUAUUGAAAACAUACUGUUUUUUAUGACCUAAUAAUUUGUCCAACAAUAAUCAUUUAUAGCACUUUUUCUAUUCCAUUUAAUUUCUUUCCUACUGGAAGAAAAUUCCGGCUGAAAGGAUAUGCCUAACUGCUGAAAUGUUAUUGUAUUCUGGCAAAUUAUAUCGGUUUUAUAUACUAUUGCAUUGCAGUAUAUAUAAUUGUUCAAUCUGUAUUCCAUCCUUUACUGUCUUUUUUCUUUGAUAUUUUACACAUGUAUACCAACCAGAACUGCAUACUUUUACAUUCUUUUAAAAUAAAAUGAAACAUUGCUUCUGAAAAUGGUUUAUGGGGUCUUGGAUGGAGAUAUAAUUUAGUUCAUGGUUGUGAAGAUGAAACCACUGCACCUGGAAAAAGAAGGGUGAAAUCAAUCUUAGGAAGCAGUUUGACUUAGAUCAACACCACUGGCAAACAACACUGACAGAUACAGAUGCACCCCAGACAACCUGUGAUACACAAUACCUGAAAACGAAUACACGUAUAGUACAUGACACCAAACCUCAGUAAAUUUUACCCUGAUGAGUCAAAGAAUUAAGAACACAAAAAUAAUAGAAAAAUUAUAGAAUACAAAAUAAUAGCUUUUGAACAUAUUAUUUUAAUUGCCUUACAUACCUGGUUAUCAUUUGAUGUGUUUCUCCAAUUCCAGCCCUAAUUUGUAAUGCUAUUAAUGUAAAGAUGAUAUGCAAAUACAAAUAACAUGUUUUCAUAGCAGAUGGCUGCCAGUGCAACAUUAAAUUCCAGUAGAGAUUAUUCAGAAAGAAGAUGAGAUGCUGUAAAAAUACAGCAGUAGAAUUCAUUUACCCCACCAUGUUGAAACACAUGCUCUGCACCAGGGAGAACAGUGCUGUUCUCAGAGCAGUUUUCUCUCUCACAGUGUUCAUACAUUGCAUUAGAUGUUGUGUUUCAGUUCCUCCAGUUCUUGCAUGCUAACCUUAGCGGAUCCCAGCUCAUUUGCAUGCAUCAAGUGACCUAAACCUCUCCCAUCCUGAGUGAGCUCCUCCCCCUCCAUGUCCCUGGCUCCUCCUCUUCUCCCUGGUAUGUUGCCUUUCUUAAGACAUUGUAUUCCAGUGUAAGAGAUGCACCAAAAACGUUGUUAAUUUUUCAUGCAUUUUUUUGAUAUGUAACAAGCAUAAUGUGUGUAAAAAUUCCCUGAGAACAGUUAAAGAUCAUGCAAGUUUAUGUGUAAUAUGUAUAAUGAAUGUAAAAGCUCCCUGAGAAUAGUUGAGGAAUUAGGGCCAACCUCUAUCUAGUGUGCACAUAGCUCUAAGUUUAAAAAUAUUGAUGAUUUACCUCAAAUCACCAUAUUGACUGAUAUAGUUCUAACAUGCUAUGUGGUUGUCGUAAUGUGAUCGCUUUCAGUCAACGACCGUGAUAACACUAUAUAUGAAGUAUAAUUUUAGUUUCUAUUUUAUUAUGGGAAAAAAAAUCUGCAUACCAACAACCUUGCAACUUAUUUUAUUGAUCUUAAUAACUAUAAAUUGGGCCUGACCUCCCAUAGUAAAAAAAAAAAACAAGCACAGAAACAUUUUGCACUGAAAAUAAAGAUUUGGAAGCUUCAUUGGAAUUUGUCUCUUCCAGAGAUCCGACUGAGAAAGCUGGUGGAUGAGAGGGAAGGUCUCGUAGAACAGGUGAAACGGCUAAAGGCGCAGCUGGAUCAGAAACACAAC